CACGUAUGCAACCAACCCAUAACAGGGGGAUAACCCGGAGAAAUCCGGACUAAUACCGCAUAAGACCACGAUAUCGCAUGAUAUAGAGGUCAAAUAUUUAUAGGUUAUGGACGGGCAUGCGUCCGAUUAGCUGGUUGGCGGGGUAAUGGCCCACCAAGGCAUCGAUCAGUAGGGGUUCUGAGAGGAAGGUCCCCCACAUUGGAACUGAGACACGGUCCAAACUCCUACGGGAGGCAGCAGUGGGGAAUAUUGGUCAAUGGGCGAAAGCCUGAACCAGCCAUGUCGCGUGAAGGAUGAAGGUCCUAUGGAUUGUAAACUUCUUUUGCAGGAGGGUAAAGUGAGCUACGUGUAGUUCAUUGCAAGUACCCUGCGAAUAAGCAUCGGCUAACUCCGUGCCAGCAGCAGC
rnacentral:rRNA from 1 species